GACGAACGCUGGCGGCGUGCUUAGCACAUGCAAGUCGAACGGAAAGGCCCUGCUUUUGUGGGGUGCUCGAGUGGCGAACGGGUGAGUAACACGUGAGUAACCAGCCCUUGACUUUGGGAUAACUUCAGGAAACUGGGGCUAAUACCGGAUAGGAGCUCCUGCUGCAUGGUGGGGGUUGGAAAGUUUCGGCGGUUGGGGAUGGACUCGCGGCUUAUCAGCUUGUUGGUGGGGUAGUGGCUUACCAAGGCUUUGACGGGUAGCCGGCCUGAGAGGGUGACCGGCCACAUUGGGACUGAGAUACGGCCCAGACUCCUACGGGAGGCAGCAGUGGGGAAUAUUGCACAAUGGGCGGAAGCCUGAUGCAGCAACGCCGCGUGCGGGAUGACGGCCUUCGGGUUGUAAACCGCUUUCGCCUGUGACGAAGCGUGAGUGACGGUAAUGGGUAAAGAAGCACCGGCUAACUACGUGCCAGCAGCCGCGGUGAUACGUAGGGUGCGAGCGUUGUCCGGAUUUAUUGGGCGUAAAGGGCUCGUAGGUGGUUGAUCGCGUCGGAAGUGUAAUCUUGGGGCUUAACCCUGAGCGUGCUUUCGAUACGGGUUGACUUGAGGAAGGUAGGGGAGAAUGGAAUUCCUGGUGGAGCGGUGGAAUGCGCAGAUAUCAGGAGGAACACCAGUGGCGAAGGCGGUUCUCUGGGCCUUUCCUGACGCUGAGGAGCGAAAGCGUGGGGAGCGAACAGGCUUAGAUACCCUGGUAGUCCACGCUGUAAACGGUGGGUACUAGGUGUGGGGUCCAUUCCACGGGUUCCGUGCCGUAGCUAACGCUUUAAGUACCCCGCCUGGGGAGUACGGCCGCAAGGCUAAAACUCAAAGGAAUUGACGGGGCCCCGCACAAGCGGCGGAGCAUGCGGAUUAAUUCGAUGCAACGCGUAGAACCUUACCUGGGUUUGACAUGGAUCGGGAGCGCUCAGAGAUGGGUGUGCCUCUUUUGGGGUCGGUUCACAGGUGGUGCAUGGCUGUCGUCAGCUCGUGUCGUGAGAUGUUGGGUUAAGUCCCGCAACGAGCGCAACCCUUGUUCACUGUUGCCAGCACGUUAUGGUGGGGACUCAGUGGAGACCGCCGGGGUCAACUCGGAGGAAGGUGGGGAUGACGUCAAGUCAUCAUGCCCCUUAUGUCCAGGGCUUCACGCAUGCUACAAUGGCUGGUACAGAGAGUGGCGAGCCUGUGAGGGUGAGCGAAUCUCGGAAAGCCGGUCUCAGUUCGGAUUGGGGUCUGCAACUCGACCUCAUGAAGUCGGAGUCGCUAGUAAUCGCAGAUCAGCAACGCUGCGGUGAAUACGUUCCCGGG
rnacentral:rRNA from 1 species